rnacentral:rRNA from 1 species
ACGAGUUAUCUGAACCUUCGGGGAACGAUAACGGCGUCGAGCGGCGGACGGGUGAGUAAUGCCUAGGAAAUUGCCCUGAUGUGGGGGAUAACCAUUGGAAACGAUGGCUAAUACCGCAUGAUGCCUACGGGCCAAAGAGGGGGACCUUCGGGCCUCUCGCGUCAGGAUAUGCCUAGGUGGGAUUAGCUAGUUGGUGAGGUAAGGGCUCACCAAGGCGACGAUCCCUAGCUGGUCUGAGAGGAUGAUCAGCCACACUGGAACUGAGACACGGUCCAGACUCCUACGGGAGGCAGCAGUGGGGAAUAUUGCACAAUGGGCGCAAGCCUGAUGCAGCCAUGCCGCGUGUGUGAAGAAGGCCUUCGGGUUGUAAAGCACUUUCAGUCGUGAGGAAGGUAGUGUAGUUAAUAGCUGCAUUAUUUGACGUUAGCGACAGAAGAAGCACCGGCUAACUCCGUGCCAGCAGCCGCGGUAAUACGGAGGGUGCGAGCGUUAAUCGGAAUUACUGGGCGUAAAGCGCAUGCAGGUGGUUUGUUAAGUCAGAUGUGAAAGCCCGGGGCUCAACCUCGGAAUUGCAUUUGAAACUGGCAGACUAGAGUACUGUAGAGGGGGGUAGAAUUUCAGGUGUAGCGGUGAAAUGCGUAGAGAUCUGAAGGAAUACCGGUGGCGAAGGCGGCCCCCUGGACAGAUACUGACACUCAGAUGCGAAAGCGUGGGGAGCAAACAGGAUUAGAUACCCUGGUAGUCCACGCCGUAAACGAUGUCUACUUGGAGGUUGUGGCCUUGAGCCGUGGCUUUCGGAGCUAACGCGUUAAGUAGACCGCCUGGGGAGUACGGUCGCAAGAUUAAAACUCAAAUGAAUUGACGGGGGCCCGCACAAGCGGUGGAGCAUGUGGUUUAAUUCGAUGCAACGCGAAGAACCUUACCUACUCUUGACAUCCAGAGAACUUUCCAGAGAUGGAUUGGUGCCUUCGGGAACUCUGAGACAGGUGCUGCAUGGCUGUCGUCAGCUCGUGUUGUGAAAUGUUGGGUUAAGUCCCGCAACGAGCGCAACCCUUAUCCUUGUUUGCCAGCGAGUAAUGUCGGGAACUCCAGGGAGACUGCCGGUGAUAAACCGGAGGAAGGUGGGGACGACGUCAAGUCAUCAUGGCCCUUACGAGUAGGGCUACACACGUGCUACAAUGGCGCAUACAGAGGGCAGCCAACUUGCGAAAGUGAGCGAAUCCCAAAAAGUGCGUCGUAGUCCGGAUUGGAGUCUGCAACUCGACUCCAUGAAGUCGGAAUCGCUAGUAAUC